UACAGGGGGUGCAAACGUUGCUCGGAAUCAUUGGGCGUAAAGCGCACGUAGGCGGUUCGUUAUGUCGGAUGUGAAAGCCCUUGGCUUAACCGAGGAAGUGCAUCCGAAACUGGCGAGCUAGAGUACGAAAGAGGAUCGCGGAAUUCCCGGUGUAGAGGUGAAAUUCGUAGAUAUCGGGAGGAACACCGGUGGCGAAGGCGGGACUCUGGGCCGAUACUGACGCUGAGGAGCGAAAGCGUGGGGAGCAAACAGG
rnacentral:rRNA from 1 species